rnacentral:snRNA from 1 species
GGUGCGGUUUUGGUUAUCAUU